rnacentral:rRNA from 1 species
GAUCCUGGCUCAGGAUGAACGCUGGCGGCGUGCUUAAUACAUGCAAGUCGAACGAAGCACUUUUGGCAGAUCCCUUCGGGGUGAAGCCGGUUGUGACUUAGUGGCGGACGGGUGAGUAACGCGUGGGUAACCUGCCUUAUACUGGGGGAUAACAGUUAGAAAUGGCUGCUAAUACCCCAUAAGCGCACGGCACCGCAUGAUGCAGUGUGAAAAGAUUUUAUUGGUAUAAGAUGGACCCGCGUCUGAUUAGUUAGUUGGUGAGGUAACGGCCCACCAAGACGACGAUCAGUAGCCGACUUGAGAGAGUGAUCGGCCACAUUGGGACUGAGACACGGCCCAGACUCCUACGGGAGGCAGCAGUAGGGAAUAUUGCACAAUGGGGGAAACCCUGAUGCAGCGAACCGCCGCGUGAGUGAUGAAGUAUUUCGGUAUGUAAAGCUCUAUCAGCAGGGAAGAUAAUGACGGUACCUGACUAAGAAGCCCCGGCUAACUACGUGCCAGCAGCGGC